UUGUCCUGGGGAAAUUUGCCCAGCUAAGUGUGGGUUGCUAAGGGGACAUGCUAUCUACGAUUGCAGGAGCAACAUCGGUUGUCAGUCUGAUUAUGUAAGUGCUCUUGAGCUAUUUAUCUUCAGACAAAUGGAGGUGCAGAUCACGAGUUUGAGUCAGACCACAGUGCUAAUUGCACACACAAUUCAGAAGAAGCAAGAAAAUGAACAGAGAAACUACCGUGAUAAUUCUGCUCCUGCUUCUUUGUGCAGUUGCUCAAGGAUUCAUUUUAAGGAGAGCAGGCCGUUGUCAUUGCCCAAGAGCGACAACAGCCUCCAUUCCUUUGUGGUAUAUCAAGGACAUCAAAUUUAUCACCAGGCACCCUCGCUGCUUCAAAGAACAAGUGAUUGCUGUUUUAACAACUGGACAUGAAGUCUGCUAAACCCUCAUGCAAAGUGGUUGAAAAACGUCAAAAGAGAAGGCAUCCAGAGCCAACUACAGGCUGAAGAAAGUAAACAAUCAUGAAUUUCAGGAAUUUAUUACUCACACAUGCCAUAAAAAUUGCUGAACAAAAUUCUUAUCUCAAUGUUCCACACAGUAAUAUUUUUCGUGGUUGCAAAUGACAACUUUACUUGUCCCUUGAAUAACAGUGAGAAUAUUUUAAUCAUUUAACAAUUUCAGAAUGUGAUUAUCCUCCUCCAUAUCAGUUAGCUUCACUGCACACUUCUAGGUCCUACAUUGUGUGGGUUGUUCCCUACAGAGUCAGCUCAUUUUCAAUAAUUCUCACUCCUAAUGAGCACCCUACUCUUUCUUAGCUUAUCAUCAGCUACCUCUUUGUUUGCCCAUCCCCUUUUGUCCCACAUGCUCUUUCUCUGUUUUUUCUCAAUCUCUUUCCCUCCUUUAUAUCUCUUUCUCUCCCGCUUCGUUUUUCUCUCUCUGUCUUUUCUCUCCUCCUGUCUCUCUGAACUCUGUCUCCAUGUAUUGUAUUCACACCCCUCCACCCCGUCACUGGACUCAAAAUGUUAACUCUUUCUUUUCUCUCAACAAAUGCUGCCAGACCAGCAGGGUUUCUCCAGCACCCUUCACUUUUGUUUCAGGUGUCCAGCAUCCACAGUGUGUGUUUCAGUGAGAAUAUUAUGUUGUUCAUUCAAGUAAUAGGUAAAUGGUAAGAUUUGUAAGACAGUACUGAAAUAUAAAAUGUA